GUACGGGAGGCAGCAGUGGGGAAUUUUGGACAAUGGGCGCAAGCCUGAUCCAGCCAUGCCGCGUGCGGGAAGAAGGCCUUCGGGUUGUAAACCGCUUUUGUCAGGGAAGAAACGGUCCGUGCUAAUACCACGGGCUAAUGACGGUACCUGAAGAAUAAGCACCGGCUAACUACGUGCCAGCAGCCGCGGUAAUACGUAGGGUGCAAGCGUUAAUCGGAAUUACUGGGCGUAAAGCGUGCGCAGGCGGUCAUGCAAGACAGAUGUGAAAUCCCCGGGCUCAACCUGGGAACUGCAUUUGUGACUGCAUGACUUGAGUACGGUAGAGGGGGAUGGAAUUCCGCGUGUAGCAGUGAAAUGCGUAGAUAUGCGGAGGAACACCGAUGGCGAAGGCAAUCCCCUGGACCUGUACUGACGCUCAUGCACGAAAGCGUGGGGAGCAAACAGGAUUAGAUACCCCAGUAGUCUC
rnacentral:rRNA from 1 species